rnacentral:rRNA from 1 species
GCAUGCCCUUCGGGGUGAUGGGGACUCACAGGACACCGCCGGGGUCAACUCGGAGGAAGGUGGGGACGACGUCAAGUCAUCAUGCCCCUUAUGUCUUGGGCUGCACACGUGCUACAAUGGCCGAUACAAUGAGCUGCGAUACCGCGAGGUGGAGCGAAUCUCAAAAAGUCGGUCUCAGUUCGGAUUGGGGUCUGCAACUCGACCCCAUGAAGUUGGAGUUGCUAGUAAUCGCAGAUCAGCAUUGCUGCGGUGAAUACGUUCCCGGGCCUUGUACACACCUGCCCGUCACGUCACGAAAGUCGGUGUACACCC